rnacentral:rRNA from 1 species
AUGCAAAGCCAGGCCCGCCCGACCAUGGCCAUCAUCACCACGGCGCGCUCUCUCUUCUCCACUCCACUCUCCCUGUCCUCCACCACCACCUCCUCCUCCUCCUUCCGAGCCUCUCAUCAUGAUGUGCAUGCACCAGUGCAACACCGCCAUUACCUUUCCUUCCUCCAUUUUACCAUCGCCUCCCCUCCUCACACCGCCGACACCUCCACCACCAUGGCCUCACAGGUCCCCUUCCAUGGCCUCCUGCUUCUGCUCCCGCUCCUCACCAUCACCACCGCGUCGUCGGCGCCGCUCCCGCUGCUCGCGCUUCUCUCUCUCAAGUCCUCCCUGAACGACCCGGCCGGCGCGCUCAGUCCAUGGACUUACGCCGCGGCGGCCUCCGCAGGCGCCACCCGGUCGCUCUCCCCUCCGUGGUGCGCAUGGCCCGGCGUCGUGUGCGACGCGGCCACCGGCGACGUCGUCGGGGUCGAUCUGUCUCGCCGCAACCUAUCCGGCACCGUCUCCCCCACGGCCGCCGCGCUGCUCGCGCCGACGCUGGCUUCGCUCAACCUCAGCUGGAACGCCUUCACGGGGGAGCUCCCGCCGGCGGUGUUCUUGCUCCGUCGUCUUGUGAAGCUUGACAUCAGCCACAACUUCUUCAACUCCACCUUCCCCGACGGCAUUGCCAGGCUCGGCUCCCUCUCCGUACUCGAUGCCUACAGCAACUGCUUCGAGGGCCAGCUUCCCCGCGGCAUCGGGGAGCUCCAGAGGCUCGAGCACCUCAACCUCGGGGGCAGUUUCUUCAAUGGGAGCAUUCCGGUCGAGGUUGGGCAGCUUCGGCAGCUACGCUUCCUGCACCUCGCCGGGAACGCCCUCUCAGGGCAGCUGCCGAAGGAGCUCGGCGAGCUCGCGCUGCUCGAACACCUUGAGGUCGGGUAUAAUGGCUACAAUGGUGGCAUACCAGCGGAGUUCGGUGGGCUGACGCAGCUCCGGUACCUCGACAUCGCCGCGGCAAAUGUGUCCGGCUCGCUUCCGCCGGAGCUUGGCGGGCUCGCGCGGCUCGAAUCUCUGUUUCUAUUCAAGAACAGGCUAGCCGGCGCAAUACCGCCGCCGUGGUCGCGCCUCCGAGCACUGCAGGUUCUUGACCUGUCGGACAACCAGCUCGCCGGAGCUAUACCCGCCGGUCUGGGCGAGCUCGCGAAUCUCACGACGCUGAACCUCAUGAGCAACUUCCUCUCCGCCACGAUCCCGGCGACGAUCGGUGAGCUUCCCAACCUCGAGGUGCUGCAACUGUGGAACAACUCACUCAUCGGGAGGCUGCCGGAGUCGCUCGGUACGAGCGGGCGGCUCGUUCGCCUGGACGUGUCGACCAACUCCCUCUCCGGCCCGAUCCCGUCGGGACUCUGCACCGAUCACCGACUCCUCCGCCUCAUACUCUUCGCCAACCGAUUUGACUCCGCCAUCCCGGCGAGCCUCGCCAACUGCUCGUCGCUGUGGCGGGUUCGGCUCGAGUCCAACCGGCUCUCCGGCACGAUUCCGUCCGGCUUCGGCGCGGUGCAGAACCUGACGUACAUGGACUUGAGCUCCAACGAGCUCACCGGCGGCAUUCCGGCUGAUCUGGUCAUUUCCCCGAGCCUGGAGUACCUCAACGUCUCCGGCAACCCGAUCGGCGGUACGCUUCCGAGCAAUACGUGGCGGGCACCGAAGCUGCAAGUCUUGGCGGCGAGCAAGUGCGCUCUGGACGGCGAAAUCCCGCCGUUUGGCACCUCCGGGUGCGCAAACUUGUACAGGCUGGAGCUGGCCUGGAAUGAGCUGAGCGGCGCGGUCCCCGGUGACAUUGGCAGCUGCAAGCGGCUGGUGAGCUUGAGGCUGCAGCACAACAACCUGAGUGGCGAGAUCCCAGCGGUGCUCGCGGCGCUGCCGUCGGUCACCGAGGUGGACCUCUCCUGGAACGUCCUUACCGGCAGCAUCCCGCCGGGCGUCGCCAAUUGUACUACGCUGGAGACCUUCGACGUGUCUUUCAACCAUUUAGCACCGGUUGGGACGGCCUCGCGGUCGCCGACUCCCGGCGAGGGCGGUUCAGCGCGCCACACCGCUGCAAUGUGGAUGUCAGCCGUGGCAGUGGCGUUCGCCGGAAUGGUGGUGCUGGCGCUUACCGCGCGCUGGCUGCAGUGUCUGGAGGACGACUCGGUGGCCUCGAGCAGCGCCGGAGCGGGAGGGGCACGCCCUAACGUAGUCGUUGGGCCGUGGAGGAUGACCGCGUUUCAGAGGCUGAGCUUCACAGCGGACGACGUGGCACGGUGCGUCGAGGGGAGCGACGGCAUCGUCGGCGCCGGGUCGUCGGGAACGGUGUACCGGGCGAAGAUGCCGAAUGGCGAGGUAAUCGCCGUGAAGAAGCUGUGGCAAGCGCCGGCGCAAAAGGAGACAGCCGCAGAUCACGCGGCGAAGCAAAUGGACACACAAGACGGCGGCGACGGCAACGAGAGGGUGCUCUCCGAGGUGGAGAUGCUCGGCCAUCUCCGCCACCGCAACAUCGUUCGGCUGCUCGGGGUGUGCACAAACGGCGAGACGACGAUGCUGCUCUACGAGUACAUGCCCAACGGCAGCCUCGACGAGCUCCUGCACGGCGCCACGGCGGGAAAGACGCCGAAGGCGCGCCCGGAGUGGGACGCGCGGUACAGAAUCGCCGUCGGCGUGGCGCAGGGCGUGAGCUACCUCCACCACGACUGCCUGCCCGCGGUGGCGCACCGCGACCUCAAGCCCAGCAACAUCCUCCUCGACGCCGACAUGGAGGCCCGCGUGGCCGACUUCGGCGUUGCCAAGGCUCUCCAGGGCGCCGCGCCAAUGUCCGUCGUUGCCGGCUCCUGCGGCUACAUCGCACCAGAGUACACGUACACACUGCGUGUGGACGAGAAGAGCGACGUGUACAGCUACGGCGUGGUGCUGCUGGAGAUUCUUACCGGGCGGAAGUCGGUGGAGGCGGAGUACGGGGAGGGCAGCAACAUUGUGGAUUGGGUGAGAUCCAAGGUCGCCGGCGGCGGCGGCGGCUUGCGCGACGUGAUGGAGCACGUUAGCAGCAACAGCGAGCCGGCGCGGGAGGAGAUGGCGCUGGUGCUGCGGGUGGCGCUGCUGUGCACGAGCCGGUGCCCGCAGGACCGGCCGUCGAUGAGGGACGUGCUGUCCAUGCUGCAGGAGGCCAGGCCCAAACCCGGCCGGAAACCGGCGGCGAAGAAGCUAGUGCCGUAG